rnacentral:lncRNA from 1 species
CGGGCGGCGCGAUCUACGGAGUGCAAGGGGGAUUGCUGGGUGUGGGAGCGGCGCGCACGUAGGGAGGAUCGGCCCCGAGGCGUGCGGCGCUUGGGACGUCUGCUGGAGGCGCGGAGGCUGCUGUUGCUAGGGCGCAUAGUGCUGCUAGGGUUUUCUUUUUUUCUUUUUAGUUUUGGGCUGAGGUCUGUAUUGUUUGUUGGUUUGGGCCUGAGUAUUAUAAUGUAAAAUGGGUAUUAGAUUGGGCCUGGGCACAUUUGGGUUUAUACAAAGAUGAUUUUCAUUUUUAUUUUUUGGACAAUUAAAAACAUUGAAAGAAAAAUAUGUUUAAUUAAAAUUUUUAAAACUGAAAAUGAAAACGUAUAAAAAUUAGAAAAUAAAAAAUAUGUCUUUUUGUUUUAAAAAAAAU